GUUUCAGAAAGCUGAUCUGCUACGUGCGUAUGGCUCCUCAGCGAUCCUCCAAGCCAGCUGCAAGAUGCAGAGCUCUGCUGUUAGCCCUUGGUGCAGAGUUCUCUGUCAUCAGCAGCAGACUGGAUCGAAGAACUAUAGGACAAAGAAUGGCUUUUGCUACACAAGUCUACUGUAUACUUAUGGAAAACAGAGUGCUGGAACAGAAGACAACUGGAAAGGUCAUUCGGGCUUCUGCAAACUUCACACCUGAAAUAUUUAAUGCCAAGUAACAGAGUACACGUGGAGUCUGUAUUCCAUGUUCCUCUGGUUACCCAAGGCUGGAUUAAAUCACACUGAGAGCAAGGCAGAGGCUGUGUGUGUGUGUGUAAAGCUGUGUGGCAAUUGGCCCUGUAGUGAUAGCAAAUCAUGUAUUUAUCUAUUGAGAUACAGAUAUAUUAAAAACUGGAAGGAGGUUCUGCAACCUUUAAAUCCUUUCAUGUCACUUUAUGUUCCUGCUGUUAAGCUUUUGCUAUGUUAAUGUCAUCCUGGGCUGGUAAUAUUUACAGUACCUAAAUCAAUGUUGAGGACACACGGAAUAUUGCAGGAUCAACUCUACUUAUUUCAAAUGCACUUUAAUAUUUUGACUGCCUGACCAGAGUUUGGGAAAUAACUGUGGUAGAAUGAUAAUGAGAAGUUUAACAGUUUUAUGAUGGUUGAAGCGGACUUUAUGGAAGUUGAUAAAUUUCAUCUUGUAGGUUUCAAUUUCUCAUUCCCUACAGAGAGAUGGGGAGAAUACAUUGAUACUGCAUUUCAAAUUGGCUAGAUCAGAAGGAACAGCAGCUAAAAUCCAUUACAACCCAAUUACAUCUAUCAGCUGAAGCUGUGUGCAUUCAUUCGUGAACAUCAGCAUUUAAUCCAUAAAGAGGAACUAAUGAGAAAUUUGAAAAUGGAAUCCAUGCAUCAGUAACUUUGGAGAGAUUUUGCUGGGAUUAAUGAACUGCCAGAACAUUGUCAACACACUGAAAACCUAUUCUCUCUAGGUUUGUUUACUGACCAAAGAAAGAUUUUUUUUUUCUGUUCUCCCUACUCUACAGCAUGUUUUUGUCUUAUUGGUAGUUCCUUUUUUUUUACAUUCUUGGUGAAGAAAGUGACACUUUAUUCACUUGAAGGAUCAAAUGCUUGUUUCUUUUCCAUCCUGUGUGCAUCUGGCUGGAUGCUUGGCUAGCUUCUGCAGUCAGAUAUGCUGCAGAUGAACCUCUACUGCAUCACUACCUCUGCAAAAAUGGUCUCUUGCAUAGGUCUACAAAAGACAAAGGCACAUGGGCUAGACCAUAUUUUGUAACACAGAAAGAAAACCAAGGUAUCAGCGAUGAAAUUUUAUGGAAAGUUGUUGAAGAGUUGCUGGUGUUCAUUUGUAAGUUCACCUUUAAGAUUCCUUUGUAAAAUGCUCUGCUAGCUAAUGGAUUUUCUGAUUCUCUAGAGCUACCAGUCGGUAUCUUUCCAGAGUUGUGGAUAAAAAUGAGCCCACAGGAAAGCUGAUCUCUCUAAUGGGAAUUAAAGCAUGUAGUAAUUGCAGAGAUAUGGCUAGGCUAGUGUGUAUAAACAAGGCAGUAAACAAUCACUCAUCAAGAUCGUACAUUUAAAUGACAGCAAGUGCAGAUUAUUUUGCUGAAUGCUCCAAGGUGUAAUAUUGAUACCCAUCUCUAUCAGUUAAUGACCUAAAACUGUAUUUGUAUUUGGGGUGUAGCUAAAAUGUGUAUUAAUUUCUGCAGGCAUUUUACCUGGAGAAGCUUUAAGAACAUGUAGGUAUUUCACGACCAAUCAGUGAAAAUUCCUCUGAGCU